GUUCAACUCUGUGAGUUGAAUACACACAACACAAGGAAGUUACUGAGAAUUCUUCUGUCUAGCCUUAUAAGAAAAAAACCCGUUUCCAACGAAGGCCUCAAAGAGGUCUGAAUAUCCAAUUGCAGAUUUUACAAACAGAGUGUUUCCUAACUGCUCUAUGAAAAGGAAGGUUAAACUCUGUGAGUUGAACGCACACAUCACAAAGCAGUUUCUGAGAAUCAUUCUGUCUAGUUUUUAUACGAAGAUAUUUCCUUUUCUACCACUGACCUCAAAGCGGCUGAAAUCUCCACUUACAAAUUCCACAAAAAGAGUGUCUCAAAUCUGCUCUGUGUAAAGAACCGUUCAACUCUGUGAGUUGAAUACACACAACACAAGGAAGUUACUGAGAAUUCUUCUGUCUAGCAUAAUAUAAAGAAAUCCCGUUUCCAACGAAGGCCUCAAAGAGGUCUGAAUAUCCACUUGUAGACUUUACAAACAGAGUGUUUCCUAACUGCUCUAUGAAAAGAAAGUUGAAACUCUGUGAGUUGAACGCACACAUCACAAAGCAGUUUCUGAAAAUCAUUCUGUC
rnacentral:lncRNA from 1 species